AUUGAACGCUGGCGGCAGGCCUAACACAUGCAAGUCGAGCGGAGCGGCGGACGGGUGAGUAAGGACUAGGUAGCUGCCCGGCAGUGGGGGAUAACGUCCGGUAACGGGACCUAAUACCGUAUACUUUCAGCUGACACUAGGUGGGAGUAGCUAGUUGGUGGGGUAAAGGGCUACCAAGGCGACGUUCCGUAACUGGUCUGAGAGGCUGAUCAGUCACACUGGAACUGAGACACGGUCCAGACUCCUACGGGAGGCAGCAGUGGGGAAUAUUGCACAAUGGGCGAAAGCCUGAUCCAGCCAUGCCGCGUGUGUGAAGAAGGUCUUCGGAUUGUAAAGCACUGUAAGUUGGGAGGCGGUACCAACAGAAUAAGCACCGGCUAACUUCGUGCCAGCAGCCGCGGUAAUUC
rnacentral:rRNA from 1 species